rnacentral:rRNA from 1 species
CAGUCGCCACGGGAAUACGAAGGGGGCUAGCGUUGUUCGGAAUUACUGGGCGUAAAGGGCGCGUAGGCGGCCAUUCAAGUUAGAUGUGAAAGCCCUGGGCUCAACCUAGGAAUUGCACUUGAUACUGUUUGGCUUGAGUUCGGGAGAGGUGAGUGGAAUUCCCAGUGUAGAGGUGAAAUUCGUAGAUAUUGGGAAGAACACCAGUGGCGAAGGCGGCUCACUGGACCGACACUGACGCUGAGGCGCGAAAGCGUGGGGAGCAAACAGGAUUAGAUACCCGCGUAGUCCCUGUCUCUUAUAC